UACGGGGGGGGCAAGCGUUGUUCGGAAUUACUGGGCGUAAAGGGCUCGUAGGUGGCCAACUAAGUCAGACGUGAAAUCCCUCGGCUUAACCGGGGAACUGCGUCUGAUACUGGAUGGCUUGAGUUCGGGAGAGGAGAGUGGAAUUCCCAGUGUAGAGGUGAAAUUCGUAGAUAUUGGGAAGAACACCGGUGGCGAAGGCGGCUCUCUGGACCGAGACUGACGCUGAGGCGCGAAAGCGUGGGGAGCAAACAGG
rnacentral:rRNA from 1 species